ensembl:misc_RNA Metazoa_SRP Metazoan signal recognition particle RNA
GCCGGGCGUGGUGGCGUACGCCUGUAGUUCCAGCUACUUGGGAGACUGAGGCAGGAGAAUUGCUUGAACCCGGAAGACGGAGGUUGCAGUGAGCCGAGAUUGCACCACUGCACUCCAGCCUGGGUAACAGAGCAAGAUCCUGUCUCAA